rnacentral:rRNA from 1 species
UACAGAGGGGGCAAGCGUUGUUCGGAAUUACUGGGCGUAAAGGGCGCGUAGGCGGCCUUCUAAGUCGAACGUGAAAUCCCCGGGCUCAACCCGGGAACUGCGUCCGAGACUGGAAGGCUUGAAUCCGGGAGAGGGAUGUGGAAUUCCAGGUGUAGCGGUGAAAUGCGUAGAUAUCUGGAGGAACAUCGGUGGCGAAGGCAGGUCUCUGGGCCGAUACUGACGCUGAGGAGCGAAAGCGUGGGGAGCGAACAGG